rnacentral:rRNA from 1 species
GACGAACGCUGGCGGCGUGCUUAACACAUGCAAGUCGAACGGAAAGGCCCUGCUUUUGUGGGGUGCUCGAGGGGCGAACGGGGGAGUAACACGUGAGUAACCUGCCCUUGACUUUGGGAUAACUUCAGGAAACUGGGGCUAAUACCGGAUAGGAGCUCCUGCUGCAUGGUGGGGGUUGGAAAGUUUCGGCGGUUGGGGAUGGACUCGCGGCUUAUCAGCUUGUUGGUGGGGUAGGGGCUUACCAAGGCUUUGACGGGUAGCCGGCCUGAGAGGGUGACCGGCCACAUUGGGACUGCGAUACGGCCCAGACUCCUACGGGAGGCAGCAGUGGGGAAUAUUGCACAAUGGGCGGAAGCCUGAUGCAGCAACGCCGCGUGCGGGAUGACGGCCUUCGGGUUGUAAACCGCUUUCGCCUGUGACGAAGCGUGAGUGACGGUAAUGGGUAAAGAAGCACCGGCUAACUACGUG